AAGCCCCGUGGUGGAGUACACAUUAGAUUGCAAAUCUCAAGACGCAGAUUAACGUCUGCCGGGGCUU
rnacentral:tRNA from 1 species